rnacentral:rRNA from 1 species
AUGGAAAAGCAUGAGAGUUUGGAGCUUGACUCAAAGACGCGAGCGUCCGAGCUCACCGUGGCUAUUGAAAAUGCCAAGUCUGCCAAGGCCGAGUCCCAGAAGACCCUCCAUGAGUUGGAUGAGGUGAAGAAGAUAGCGGCGGGUAAGGCAUUCUUUAGGCAAAGCAAACACAUAAACGUGAGUUACUUGUUACUAACCCGAAUCUGGAGCUCUCCAGGAGCGUUCGCAAAUCUUCCCCGGAGUGUAUCCGAUGCCGCCGCAUUCUAUCAAGCCGAGGAGGGCAGCUCGACGGAGAAGGUGUUCUGGUCUCAGUACGCUGAGGCCGGACAACCCGUACCCCUGAGCGACCAGCUGAAGCAACUGGUUGAGCUCCACAAGGCGGCCGAACAGGCCAUGAAGGCCCUCAUUGUUCGACUGUGGCCUGGAGGGGCCCUGCCUGGGAGCUAUUUCGGGCUGGUGCGGCGGUUGGUGGAGGCCUGUCCAAGGCUUGAAGUCAUCAAGCGCUCCGUCUCCAUUGAAGGUGUCCGUAGGGCCCUUGCCCGUGCUAAGGUGCACUGGGGCAAGCUGGAUGCUGAGAAGCUGGUGAAGGACGGGCCACCGCCGGGGAAAGAGCAUCGCAAGCCCGAGAAUUACUAUAAGGAUGUUCUGAAGGGUGCCCGCCUUAUGGCGGAUGAAUGUUCUAGGGAUGUAAUUUUUGAGUGA